rnacentral:rRNA from 1 species
GUUGUGAGGUUAAGCGACUAAGCGUACACGGUGGAUGCCCUGGCAGUCAGAGGCGAUGAAGGGCGUGCUAAUCUGCGAUAAGCGCCGGUAAGGUGAUAUGAACCGUUAUAACCGGCGAUACCCGAAUGGGGAAACCCAGUGUGACUCGUCACACUAUCAUUAACUGAAUCCAUAGGUUAAUGAGGCGAACCGGGGGAACUGAAACAUCUAAGUACCCCGAGGAAAAGAAAUCAACCGAGAUUCCCCCAGUAGCGGCGAGCGAACGGGGAGGAGCCCAGAGCCUGAAUCAGCAUGUGUGUUAGUGGAAGCGUCUGGAAAGGCGCGCGAUACAGGGUGACAGCCCCGUACACAAAAGCGCAUGUGCUGUGAGCUCGAUGAGUAGGGCGGGACACGUGGUAUCCUGUCUGAAUAUGGGGGGACCAUCCUCCAAGGCUAAAUACUCCUGACUGACCGAUAGUGAACCAGUACCGUGAGGGAAAGGCGAAAAGAACCCCGGCGAGGGGAGUGAAAAAGAACCUGAAACCGUGUACGUACAAGCAGUGGGAGCACAGGUUUACCUGUGUGACUGCGUACCUUUUGUAUAAUGGGUCAGCGACUUAUAUUCUGUAGCAAGGUUAACCGUAUAGGGGAGC